rnacentral:rRNA from 1 species
GUGAGGAAUAUUGGUCAAUGGACGGAAGUCUGAACCAGCCAUGCCGCGUGAAGGAUGAAGGCGUUCUGCGUUGUAAACUUCUUUUAUCAGAGAAGAAACCACUGAUUUCUAUUAGUGUUGACGGUAUCUGAUGAAUAAGCACCGGCUAACUCCGUGCCAGCAGCCGCGGUAAUACGGAGGGUGCAAGCGUUAUCCGGAUUUACUGGGUUUAAAGGGUGUGUAGGCGGGCUAUUAAGUCAGGGGUGAAAUCCCGGGGCUCAACCUCGGAACUGCCUUUGAUACUAUUAGUCUUGAAUUAUGUUGAGGUUGGCGGAAUAUAACAUGUAGCGGUGAAAUGCAUAGAUAUGUUAUAGAACACCGAUUGCGAAGGCAGCUGGCUAACAUAUAUUGACGCUGAGGCACGAAAGCGUGGGUAGCGAACAGGAUUAGAUACCCGGGUAGUCC